GAAACAGAUCAAGGAGGAGUCUGAAAAGCUGUACUGGCUUCUACGAGAUGAAGAGGCAGCCAGGAUAGCUGCACUGAGGGAGGAAGAGGAUGAGAAGAGUGAGAUGAUGAAGGACAAGCUGGAGAAGAUCAACAGAGAGAUCUCAUCUCUUACAGACACCAUCAGAGCCAUAGAGGAGGAGAUGGGAGCUGGUGACAUCACAUUCCUGCAGAGCUACAAGAGCACAGUGGAAAGAGCCCAGUGCACACUGCAGGAUCCAGAGACAGUCACAGGAGCUCUGAUCAAUGUAGCAAAGCACCUGGGCAACCUGAAUUUCAGAGUCUAGGAGAAGAUGCGGGAUG